rnacentral:rRNA from 1 species
UACGUAGGGUGCAAGCGUUGUCCGGAAUUAUUGGGCGUAAAGAGCUCGUAGGCGGUCUGUCACGUCGGCUGUGAAAACCCGAGGCUCAACCUCGGGCCUGCAGUCGAUACGGGCAAACUAGAGUGUUGCAGGGGAGACUGGAAUUCCUGGUGUAGCGGUGAAAUGCGCAGAUAUCAGGAGGAACACCGGUGGCGAAGGCGGGACUCUGGGCCGAUACUGACGCUGAGGAGCGAAAGCGUGGGGAGCAAACAGG